AGCGAACGCUGGCGGCAGGCUUAACACAUGCAAGUCGAGCGGACCUUUCGGGGUCAGCGGCGGACGGGUGAGUAACGCGUGGGAACGUGCCUUCCGGUUCGGAAUAACCCUGGGAAACUAGGGCUAAUACCGGAUACGCCCUUAUGGGGAAAGGUUUACUGCCGGAAGAUCGGCCCGCGUCUGAUUAGCUAGUUGGUGGGGUAACGGCCUACCAAGGCGACGAUCAGUAGCUGGUCUGAGAGGAUGAUCAGCCACACUGGGACUGAGACACGGCCCAGACUCCUACGGGAGGCAGCAGUGGGGAAUAUUGGACAAUGGGCGCAAGCCUGAUCCAGCCAUGCCGCGUGAGUGAUGAAGGCCUUAGGGUUGUAAAGCUCUUUUAUCCGGGACGAUAAUGACGGUACCGG
rnacentral:rRNA from 1 species